rnacentral:rRNA from 1 species
CCCUUAGAUGUCCUGGGCCACACGCGCGCUACACUGAUGCAUUCAACGAGUUUUACCUUGGCCGAGAGGCCUGGGCAAUCUUUUAAACCUGCAUCGUGAUAGGGAUAGAUUAUUGCAAUUAUUAAUCUUGAACGAGGAAUUCCUAGUAAACGCAAAUCAUCAAUUUGCAUUGAUUACGUCCCUGCCCUUUGUACACACCGCCCGUCGCACCUACCGAUUGAAUGGUCCGGUGAAGCCUCGGGAUUGUGGCCAGUUCACUUUAUUGGGAGUUGGCUGUGAGAACUUGUCUAAACCUUAUCAUUUAGAGGAAGGUGAAGUCGUAACA